AAUGUCUGUAGUAUGGAACACGCAGUGCAGCUCUGGAUACAGAAACUAAGAUUUCAGCAAGUGAUAUACUGAGAGGAGAACAGGAAUCAAAUCUUGUAAAAGGAUGUUCUUGUAAAUACUUGUCCUGUGUCUUCACUGGGUUGAGAGAAGACAGAUGACAGAAGAUUUGGGACAGUAGCCUGUGGUGCUCCUAGAGAUAGAUCCAACUGCCUGUAGCCAGUAUGAUAGAGUGACGAUGCAGAAGAAGUCUUACCUGCUGCACUGGCAGAAUUUCAGGAUGAUGAACCCCUCCUUUCUCCAGACCUGUGCAGGAAUCUGCCACUGGUAGGCCCUGUAUUGAGAAGCACGUUUCUGUUGCCACCUGUAUGCAUCCCCAGGCCCUGCUCCCCCUUCCCAGCUGCUCCUCAUCAGGUGCUAAGAGAUAACUGUUAUCAGUGAUAACUGUUACAGCCCUUCCAAAAGGGAAUUAGCAAAGCUAUUAGGAGAGAGCUUCUGUACCUAGCCAUAGGUCUUGGCAGAGCAUAGGAUGUUACUGAUGGCUUUGUGUGAAUGGCUUUUUAAUUCUGGUGGAGGUUUUGGGCAGCACUUGCAUCUGCUCUUUGGUCUGCCACGCUAAGCCAGACAGGGAGCCAAGAGGUUUCUGCCUUAUGCUGCAUGGGUUGACUGAUCACUGCAAAAUGAGGGAAGGGCUCUACAAGAUAGUGUUUCUGAGAUCCUGGAAGCUGCAGAAUGAAAUGAUCAAAUGAAAGACCUUUCAUUGGAGAAAAGGUAAAGACUGUUUCUUUAGAUAGACAGGAAAACCUCUUCCCCAGGUAAGGAUAAAUAGUUAUGAUUUUUUUCUUCUCUUGAUUGAUGCUACUUAGUCUCUGCUUCUCUAGCUUGUAAGUAUUCUUAUUCUGUGCUUUAACCAGAGAAAUGUGGUGUAACUGUCUGUUGAAUCCGUAACUUUCCAUCUGUGCUCUUCUGGAGAUCCAUGGACUACCUCAGGGCCCACAGUAAGCCUGCCCUCAGUAGGCUGAGGUUUGUUACGUGCAGGUCUGUACCUCUUGUGAGAAGCUUGUAGGGGUCUGCAAGUGAGAUAACACUUAAAAAACACUUUCCAAGGUUUUGAAAGGAUGUUUAAAGCAGGAUGUGGCAGGUGAAGGAGAGACUGGCAGACUUCUAUAGAAAAUAUGGCUGCCAUUCACAGUAUAUGUGUAUAUAUGUAUAUGUGUAUAUUAUAUCUGUAUAAGUUUGGACUGUUUCAUUUUAUAUCUGUGAGCAGAGGGAAGGUUCGAACAGCAUGCACACCUUCUGCCAAACAGUUGGUCAGGGUCAGGCUUCAAGUGCUGAAAGAGAUGGGGCUGGAUGUGCUCUGUGUCUGGGACCCAGGUGCAUGAACAUCCCAUACUCAAGGGAAGGGAUUUCUCUGAUUGCUAGUAAAGAGCUCUGGCUGUGUGUGGAGGAGGCUGUGCUUGUGCUCUGUCCUGCAACUGUGUGACACUGUUUUGUUCAAUCCAUACCAAAAUGUGCUGGGAUCACUUUGCUUUUCGUUUUGUUUGGAAAACAGUUACAUAAAGCUGUGACCCACGUGUGCGUCAGUCCCACCAGGCUCACAAGUAAAUGAGGAAGAUCUCAAGAAGCUCUGAGAUGAUGUCUGAAAGGAUUUCCUUCCCUCCCGCCCAGAGGGUUGAACCUUGCAGAAAGGUCACUUAAUUGUGCUGCUUGGAGAUCUCAUACUGGGCCCAGCGCUCCCUGUACCCUGCAGAACACCAAUGACUGGGGCAGCAGUAACAUCAUCCCAGUGGCUUUGUGCUGUCUGCAUCACCCCUGUGCUGUCUGUGUCAGGGGUGUGUUUUCAAAAGACAGAAAGAAAGCAUUUUAGAGGAGGUAUUCCUGCGUGGGAUUAAUGGGAUUGAUGCAUCUGGAUUAAUGCAGCUUUUCCUGAAAGAAAUGCUCUCUUUUUUGUCCACCCCUUCCCCUCUGAGGUUUACUUACUUGCAGCUGCUGACUCUUUGCCUGGCUGUUGUAUUACCUGUGCUAAGGAGAACUGUAAAAAGCUCAAGCAUUUAUUGAUUCAGUAGUGGGAUCUAUUCAACAGUGAUAAAAUGCUGCUGCUUCU
rnacentral:lncRNA from 7 species